CUUAAUUUAAUGCAUUGUCUCCAUAUUGCAAAACCAAGUGUGUGUACACAUAUGUGGUUUUUAUUUUUUGUGUCGGUGGGUCUCCAUCCUAAUUUUGUUCCCUGAUGUCCCACAUCCUGGGGGACUACCAAACUGUCCUCAGCUGACACAACUUGAGUGCAUCAUUAAACACGUUCACGCUGUGCUGAGGGUACAAGAUCCACGCAGACACCAUUUCAACAGCACUCUCUUCAUGGUCUGCC